rnacentral:rRNA from 1 species
CAGUAGCCGCGGUAAUACGUAGGGUGCGAGCGUUAAUCGGAAUUACUGGGCGUAAAGCGUGCGCAGGCGGUUAUAUAAGACAGAUGUGAAAUCCCCGGGCUCAACCUGGGACCUGCAUUUGUGACUGUAUAGCUAGAGUACAGUAGAGGGGGAUGGAAUUCCGCGUGUAGCAGUGAAAUGCGUAGAUAUGCGGAGGAACACCGAUGGCGAAGGCAAUCCCCUGGACCUGUACUGACGCUCAUGCACGAAAGCGUGGGGAGCAAACAGGAUUAGAUACCCCUGUAGUCCCUGUCUCUUAUAC